GUGGGGAAUUUUGGACAAUGGGCGAAAGCCUGAUCCAGCAAUGACGCGUGUGUGAAGAAGGCCUUCGGGUUGUAAAGCACUUUUGUCCGGAAAGAAAUCUGUCUGGCUAAUACCUAGAUGGGAUGACGGUACCGGAAGAAUAAGCACCGGCUAACUACGUGCCAGCAGCCGCGGUAAUACGUAGGGUGCGAGCGUUAAUCGGAAUUACUGGGCGUAAAGCGUGCGCAGGCGGUUUUGUAAGACCGAUGUGAAAUCCCCGGGCUUAACCUGGGAACUGCAUUGGUGACUGCAAGGCUAGAGUGCGUCAGAGGGGGGUGGAAUUCCGCGUGUAGCAGUGAAAUGCGUAGAGAUGCGGAGGAACACCGAUGGCGAAGGCAGCCCCCUGGGAUGACACUGACGCUCAUGCACGAAAGCGUGGGGAGCAAACAGGAUUAGAUACCCUGGUAGUCC
rnacentral:rRNA from 1 species